rnacentral:rRNA from 1 species
AUGAGGGCGACCAGUCUACUGCGGUUGCUCUUGAUCUGCUUCUACCUCCUUUCGAUCCACACCUUCGCCGCCGCCGGUGUUGGUGACAAGCUCGAGAAGGGCCAGAACCUCACCGACGGCGACACGCUCGUCUCAGCAGGGGGCUCCUUCACCCUCGGGUUCUUCUCUCCCGGGGCGUCCACCAAGAGGUACCUCGGCAUAUGGUUCUCCGUGUCCAACGGCACGGCCGUCUGCUGGGUUGCCAACCGCGACCAACCUCUGGUCGACAAGUCCGGCAUGCUGGUGCUCAACGACCUCGGCAGCCUCGUUCUGUUAGAUGGCUCCCGCCGGACGGUCUGGUCUUCAGACUUCUCCGGCGGCGCUUCUGCGGUGGUGGCGCAGCUUCUCGUGCCCGGCAACCUGGUCGUACACAAUGGCAGCAGCGACGCCUCCCUGUGGCAGUCGUUCGACCAUCCGUCGGACACCUUGCUACCUGACAUGAAGCUGGGCAAGAACCGCUGGACCGGAGCCGAGUGGCAGCUCACGUCGUGGCGCUCGGCCGACGACCCGGCUCCGGGGGACUACCGCCGCACGCUGGAAACCGAGGGGUUACCGGAGCUCGUCGUGUGGCGAGGCAACGUCAAGACGUACCGCACGGGCCCGUGGAACGGGCUCUACUUCAACGGCGUCCCGGAGGUGUCGGCGUACGCGGGCAAGUACCCUCUGCGGGCGACGACGAGCCCGUGGGAGACCACCUACGGGUACACCGCCGCGCCCGGCGCGCCGCUGACCCGCGUCGUGGUGAACCACACCGGCAAGGCGGAGCGGUGGGAGUGGGACGCGAGCAGCUGGGCGUGGACUCGCAUAUUCCAGGGGCCGAGGGACCCGUGCGACGAGUAUGGGAGAUGCGGGCCGUUCGGCCUCUGCGACCCCGAGGCGGCAUCGUCGGGGUUCUGCGGCUGCGUCGAGGGCUUCAGCUUCAGCAGCCCUCCCGCCACGACCCCGCCGGCGCAGGAGGUGAAGGGUACCACCUGCAGAAGACACGCAGCGCUGGACUGUGCCGGCGGCACUACGACGGACGGCUUCGCGGUGGUGCGGGGGGUGAAGCUUCCUGACACGCAGAACGCGUCGGUGGACAUGGGCGUCACGCUGGAGGAGUGCAGGGCGAGGUGCUUCGCCAACUGCUCGUGCUUGGCCUAUGCCGCCGCCGACAUCAGAGGAGGCGGCGAUGGUUCCGGCUGCGUCAUGUGGACGGAUGCCAUCGUUGAUCUUCGUCUCGUUGACAUGGGGCAGAAUCUCUACCUGAGGUUGUCAAAAUCAGAACUUGAUGACCAUAAAAAGUUUCCUGUUCUACUCGUUGCCAUACCUUUAGCUUCCAUUGUUAUUAUUCUACUGGUCGUCUUUGCGAUUUGGUGGAGAAGGAAGCACACAAUCAUAGGUGCUAUUCCUCAGAGCCAUGCCAUGGCCGUUCCCUUAGUUAGUCUAGCUAUUAUAAAGGAUGUCACUGGAAAUUUCUCAGAAAGCAAUAUGAUCGGCCAGGGUGGAUUUAGCAUCGUUUACAAGGGGCAGCUGCCUGAAGGAAGAACAAUUGCUGUCAAGAGGCUUAAGCAGUCGGUGCUCACCACAAAAGGCAAGAAAGAUUUUGCAAGAGAAGUGGAGGUGAUGGCUGGGCUCCGGCACGGUAGUCUUGUCCGUCUCCUUGCCUACUGCAACGAAGGCAAGGAGCGGAUACUCAUCUACGAAUACAUGCAGAACAAGAGCCUAAACGUCCACAUUUUCGGCAAUGUUAACCUUCGCGCCUCACUGAACUGGGCAUGGAGACUGGAAUUAAUCCAAGGGAUUGCGCAUGGCAUUGCAUACCUACACGGAGGAUCCGGUGACAAUGUUAUCCAUAGGGAUCUCAAGCCAGGCAACAUUCUGCUAGAUGAUGAAUGGAAGCCUAAAAUCGCAGACUUUGGAACUGCCAAGUUGUUCGCUGUGGAUCAGAUCGGGCCUGAUCAAACAAUUGUAGUUUCACCGGGGUAUGCAGCACCGGAGUAUGCGCGGCAAGGGAACAUGACACUUAAGUGUGACGUCUAUAGUUUCGGAGUUAUUCUCUUGGAGACACUCAGUGGGCGAAGGAACGGUGGCAUGCAAGGCCUCCUUUCGCAUGCCUGGGGAUUGUGGGAGAUGAACAUGAUCGCAGAACUUCUGGACACAACAAUGGUGCCACUCUCCGAGUCUGAGCCCGAGCUCUUGUCCAAGCUGACACGAUGCAUCCAGAUUGGGCUCCUCUGCGUCCAGGAAACUCCCUGUGACAGGCCGACCAUGUCCUCCGUUGUUUCCAUGUUGACGAGCAUGACAUCGCAAAUCGAUCGGCCAAGAAGAAGGCCACCAUUGGAUUGCGAAGGAUUUGUGGCUUCAGAUUCAUCACAUGGGCUCGAGACCGAACUCUUGAUCCCAACUACGAUUGAUUUGACGUAG